CCUGAAAGCUGUAGUGUAGGUUUGUGUGUUCCUCUGAGAUAAAGUUAGGCUCUUUCUCUAUUCUCUGACAAGCAUAAGCCUAAUUCAAGCCUGGUGCUAGUAGGAACAGUCAGGCUGUAUGAAAAUGACUUCUCUGGUAUUUCUGGUUCCCAAGGGGAACAAGGAGACCCUGCAUGCUAUGGGAGGGGCUGCAAAGCAGUUUCCAGAUCGUGCCUGAGAGAAGAUGGAUGCAGAAUACAAAAUGAAGCAGCAUAUCCAUCUCCAAUAUUACAAGAACCAGAUGGGAAAGGUCUGGGGAUUCAAUGGACAGGACCCUGGUGUGCACACUGGGCAACUGCCAGCUUUGCCCUUAAGGGAAUGCCAGCUAGAAAAGCAAAUUUCCACACGCACCUCACUUUCCUUACCUGAAUUAAUGAUCAUGGGAUGGAGAGCAGUGUGAUGUGGAGAAGGUGUUGCCUCAUUGCUCCCAAGAUGGAUUUUUACACAAAAGGAUGUUAUCUGCAUCUCUCGUGGUGGUAUAACAGGCAGUGUGUGUCCUUCUGCCUGGAGCGCUUCCAUAGAACAAUAUGGUAUUUCAAUUUAUGAUUGA